GAGAGGGCAAUUCAAGUAGAAUAUGCAAAAGAAAAGGAGUACGUAAACAAAGAAAACAUUGACAAGAAGGAUCGGGAAACCAUGGUCAUGGAUACAAGCCAUAUGUCCCCUGAAACAAAAUAUUUUGGCUAGGUUUCCCUUCAAAGGCGAUGGUUUCUUCAAUCAAAGCAUGUCUUUUACUUGAGCCAAGAUCUAGUGUAUAGGGAUAUUGAACUUGGUGUAGCUCUC
rnacentral:lncRNA from 1 species